CUUAAUCCUACCUGGCCAUCAUACAGUAUUACCACUCUCCAUACACUUUCUUAGGUGACUUUUGUAUCUUAUUCUCUUACUACAUACUUCCAACAACUGUUGUUGAGCCGUAACUCUUUGGUGAUUACUUUGCGUUUUAUUUCUUCCUCACUGAGAAAAUGGAACCAAUCAGAAGAUAACUUAUAAAGGCUUCCACCAAUAUAUACCUUAUGCCCAUGUGCCUACAUCUCUGUCCGUUUACCGUAUAUGUUUUCUUCUGUAACUGAGGGUGAAUGCUCUGGUAUCUGUACUGAGACCAGAUUCUACACUUGCACAUUAGAUCCUACUCACUUGCUUAUUCAAGGAUAUUGCUUAGUAAUUCUUUCUCUGCUACAUUAUCAAUUUUUUGCCUCUUUACUAGCUCAGUCCCCCAUCUUAAAAAAACUACUUUUCUCCUAAUUUCCCUCCAGCUACAUCCCUAUUUUCUUUUCCUUCACCACAAAUUCCUUUCCAGAGAUGUCUCAAUUUACUGUCUUUGAUUUCUUUCCUCCUUUCUCUCAUGAACCCUUUCCAGGUAGGUUUUUGACUAGCUCAUGCCAAAG
rnacentral:lncRNA from 10 species